rnacentral:rRNA from 1 species
GUCUACGGCCACACCACCCUGAACGCGCCCGAUCUCGUCUGAUCUCGGAAGCCAAGCAGGGUCGGGCCUGGUUAGUGCUUGGAGGGGAGAAGUUGUGUGCUCUGACU